UUGAAGGAGACUAACCUAGGGAGAACUUAAGAACAAGUAGAAUGGCCAAAAUUAGGCAACAUUUCAUUACUAAUUCCAAGUUAAAGAAAUACAUGUAUAAGAGACUCCUAUUUAUAGGAUAAAGUCUCUCAAAAACUCUCAAAUGAGAGUGUGACAAGUGUCACCACCUUAUUGGUGCAAAUCCUCUCCAUUAAGAAGAAGACAUGUGGAGACUCAUGUCUUCCUUGCCUACAUUUCUAUUUGCACCCCUCUUUUACUAUUUUACACAUUACUUUGUUUUCUAUUUACAUCUUUCUCUACUUUGGCCCAAAAUACAAGGCCCAAAACUUCCUAACUACUCUAUACAAUUUUUACAAGGCUAAGAAGAAGAAAAAGACUUUACAAACUCUUCAUUAAAGCUCGAUCUUCGUCUAUCUUCUUGGCCGAAAGUUUUGAGGCUGGACGGUUUCCAUCA
rnacentral:lncRNA from 1 species